rnacentral:rRNA from 1 species
CCGCCCGUCACACCAUGGGAGUUUGUUGCACCAGAAGCAGGUAGCUUAACCACGCAAGUGGGGGCGCUUGCCACGGUGUGGCCGAUGACUGGGGUG